rnacentral:rRNA from 1 species
CGUGUAGGCGGCACGGUACGGUCUGGGUGAAAUCCCUCGGCUCAACCGAGGAAUUGCCCGGGCAACGGCCGCGCUAGACAGCAUCAGGGGAAGGUGGAACUCCCGGUGGAGCGGUGAAAUGCGUAGAUAUCGGGAGGAACGCCGGUGGCGAAAGCGACCUUCUGGGGUGCUUGUGACGCUGAGGCGCGAAAGCUAGGGGAGCGAACG